UCGAAGGUAGCAUAAUCAGUAGUUUUUUAAUUGAAAACUUGUAUGAAUGGUUUUACGAAAUAUUUUCUGUUUCAAGGGAAAAUUAUUAGAAAUUAAUUUUUUAGUAAAAAAGCUUAAAUAUAAUUAAAAGACGAGAAGACCCUAUAGAGUUUUAUACUUAUAUUUAUAUAACUAAUUUGUUAUUUUUUAAUUUAUUUAAUUAUGAUUAUUUUGUUGGGGUGAUAGUAAAAUUUAAGAAUCUUUUAUUUAAAAAUCAUUCAAAAAUUUUUGAAUAGUUGAUCCUUUAUUAGGGAUUAUUAGAUUAAAUUACCUUAGGGAUAACAGCGUAAUUUUUUUGUAGAGUUCUUAUCAAUAAAAAUUUUUGCGACCUCGAUGUUGGAUUAA
rnacentral:rRNA from 2 species